rnacentral:rRNA from 1 species
UACGAAGGGGGCUAGCGUUGUUCGGAAUCACUGGGCGUAAAGCGCACGUAGGCGGAUCUUUAAGUCAGGGGUGAAAUCCCGAGGCUCAACCUCGGAACUGCCUUUGAUACUGGGGAUCUCGAGUCCGGGAGAGGUGAGUGGAACUGCGAGUGUAGAGGUGAAAUUCGUAGAUAUUCGCAAGAACACCAGUGGCGAAGGCGGCUCACUGGCCCGGAACUGACGCUGAGGUGCGAAAGCGUGAGGAGCAAACAGG